rnacentral:lncRNA from 1 species
CAAAAACAAAACAAAACGAAAAAAGAAAGAACUUGAAGAAAGUGAAGUAUCUGAACAGAAUCAAAUUACCAGAUAUUUGUAAAAAUAAAGAGGCUUGACAUGAGGAUGAGCUGGAGUGCUUCCAUAAAGAGACACGUCUCUCAUCUACAGCUUAGAUGCGCAGUGGUCCAAGGUACAAAUGGAGUCCGCCUACACUCUGACAGCCAUGAACCGAUUCCAAGGACAUUGCUGUGCGCUGAGAAGCUGACACAGAGCAGAAUAAAGCACGAAGAUGACCAAACACAGACCGCCUGGUUUAUCCACAUAGCUGACUCUUCUGGAAUACCCUGCAUCUCAUUGCAGUGGAAGAUCAGGAAAUGAGAAAAACCUUAAUCUCAAAACUGGACGCAUCUACUCGAAUCAAGGAAGUCAGUCUCAUUUGAGAACAGCGCUCCCAGGCUCCCCAUCCACACUCGAAAGCUACACAAUGGCUUUUCCAAUCACAAGUCAAAUAAGCAUCUAAAGUUAAAGCCAUAAAGCCAUGAAAUAAAGCAUCAGGGAAUAACCCCA